UAAUCACCAGCUUCGGCGGCCGCGGCUUUUCCUCCUCCGCCACCACCGCUGGUGGCGCCGCCGCCGCCGCCACCGCUGCUGCUGCCGUCUUAUUCUCCGCUGCGCGUUUAAGGGCUUGGAUGCGGGGGAGGUAGGCGGCGUCGAGAAGGCGGCGGAAGUCGAGGAUGGUCUGGUUCGCCGGCGAGGUGAGGGAGGGGUCGACGGCGAGCUCAUCGUGGAUGCGGAGGCCGACGGUGACCUCCGGGAAGCAGUGGGUGCGGUGGUCGCCGGAGAAGUCGACGGGGGGGAAGGCGGAGAGUUGGGAGAGGACGUCGCCAUACUUGGUGACCCACCAUGAAUGGUACUCGACGAUGACGAAGACCACGCGGCGGUUGUAGCGGAGGGAGGUGAUGUACAGAGGGAUGAGGCCGUCGUUGAACUCAUGGUAGAGGUUACCGG
rnacentral:lncRNA from 1 species